CCUACGGGUGGCUGCAGUGGGGAAUAUUGGACAAUGGGGGCAACCCUGAUCCAGCCAUGCCGCGUGUGUGAAGAAGGCCCUCGGGUUGUAAAGCACUUUCAGUGAGGAAGAACGCCUGGUGGUUAAUACCCAUCAGGAAAGACAUCACUCACAGAAGAAGCACCGGCUAACUCCGUGCCAGCAGCCACGGUAAUACGGAGGGUGCGAGCGUUAAUCGGAAUUACUGGGCGUAAAGCGCGCGUAGGUGGCUUGAUAAGCCGGUUGUGAAAGCCCCGGGCUCAACCUGGGAACGGCAUCCGGAACUGUCAAGCUAGAGUGCAGGAGAGGAAGGUAGAAUUCCCGGUGUAGCGGUGAAAUGCGUAGAGAUCGGGAGGAAUACCAGUGGCGAAGGCGGCCUUCUGGACUGACACUGACACUGAGGUGCGAAAGCGUGGGUAGCAAACAGGAUUAGAUACCCCGGUAGUC
rnacentral:rRNA from 1 species